rnacentral:rRNA from 1 species
GACGAACGCUGGCGGCGUGCUUAACACAUGCAAGUCGAACGGAAAGGCCCUGCUUUUGUGGUAUGCUCGAGUGGAGAACGUGUGAGUAACACGUGAGUAACCUGCCCUUGACUUUGGUAUAACUUCAGGACUCUGGGUCUUAUACCGGAUAGGAGCUCCUGCUGCAUGGUGGGGGUUGGAAAGUUUCGGCGGGUGGGGAUGGACUCGCGGCUUAUCAGCUUGUUGGUGGGUUAGUGGCUUACAAAGGCUUUGACGGGUAGCCGGCCUGGGGGGGUGACCGGCAAAAUUGGGAUUGGGAUAGGCCCAGAAUCCCUAGGGGAGCAAGAAGUGGGGAAAAUUGAAAAAUGGGCGGAAGCCGGUUGCAGCAACGCGGCGGGCGGGAUGAGGGCCUUCGGGUUGUAAACCGUUUUCGCAUGUGACAAAGCGUGAGUGACGGUAAUGGGUAAAGAAGCACCGGCUAACUACGUG